GACAGAGGGGGCAAGCGUUGCUCGGAAUUACUGGGCGUAAAGGGCGCGUAGGCGGAAUGGCAAGUCGGUCGUGAAAUCCUUCGGCUCAACCGAAGAACGUCGAUCGAAACUGCCGUUCUUGAGGAGUUGCAGAGGAGACUGGAAUCCCGGUGUAGCGGUGAAAUGUGUAGAGAUCGGGAGGAACACCGGUGGCGAAGGCGGGUCUCUGGGCAAUUCCUGACGCUGAGGCGCGAAAGCUAGGGGAGCAAACGGG
rnacentral:rRNA from 1 species